rnacentral:miRNA from 1 species
ACAAGUCAAACAUGCCUUGGCCCAUUCA